UACGAAGGGGGCUAGCGUUGCUCGGAAUCACUGGGCGUAAAGGGUACGUAGGCGGGUCUUUAAGUCAGGGGUGAAAUCCUGGAGCUCAACUCCAGAACUGCCUUUGAUACUGAAGAUCUUGAGUUCGGGAGAGGUGAGUGGAACUGCGAGUGUAGAGGUGAAAUGCGUAGAUAUCUGGAGGAACACCGGUGGCGAAGGCGGCAUCCUGGACCGGCAUUGACGCUGAGGAGCGAAAGCCAGGGGAGCAAAGCAGG
rnacentral:rRNA from 1 species